GCAAGUCGAACGGCGGCACGGGUGCUUGCACCUGGUGGCGAGUGGCGAACGGGUGAGUAAUACAUCUGAACGUACCUUAUCGUGGGGGAAACGCAGCGAAAGCAGUGCUAAUACCGCAUACGCCCUGAUUGGGAAAGCGGGGGAUCGAAAGACCUCGCGCGAUUGGAGCGGCCGGUGCCUGAUUAGCUUGUUGGUGGGGUAAAAGCCCACCAAGGCGACGAUCAAUAGCUGGUCUGAGAGGAUGAUC
rnacentral:rRNA from 1 species